rnacentral:rRNA from 1 species
UACGGAGGAUGCGAGCGUUAUCCGGAUUUAUUGGGUUUAAAGGGUGCGUAGGCGGACCGAUAAGUCAGUGGUGAAAACCUGCAGCUUAACUGUAGACGUGCCAUUGAUACUGUCGGACUUGAGUGUGGUCAAGGUAGGCGGAAUGUGUAAUGUAGCGGUGAAAUGCUUAGAUAUUACACAGAACACCGAUUGCGAAGGCAGCUUGCUGGACCAUUACUGACGCUGAUGCACGAAAGCGUGGGGAGCGAACAGG